GAUGAACGCUAGCUACAGGCUUAACACAUGCAAGUCGAGGGGCAGCAUGAACUUAGCUUGCUAAGUUUGAUGGCGACCGGCGCACGGGUGAGUAACGCGUAUCCAACCUCGCCCCGAGGUCAGGGACAGCCCGGCGAAAGUCGGAUUAAUGCCCUAUGGUCUCCUUUGAGGACAUCUGAGGAGGAGUAAAGAUUCAUCGCCGAGGGAUGGGGAUGCGGCUGAUUAGGAAGCCGGCGGGGUAACGGCCCACCGGUCCUUCGAUCAGUAGGGGUUCUGAGAGGAAGGUCCCCCACACUGGUACUGAGACACGGACCAGACUCC
rnacentral:rRNA from 1 species